GUGCUUGGGGACCCCACUCUUUCAAAAGAAAGGAAGCUUUUCCCUUUUAUGUGUUCCAGGUCCCCCUGACACCCACAUAUUUGUAUAUCUACCAGCCAGGCUGUUCCUGAGUGAGUCCACCACCCACACAUACACUGUGAAACACGUGCUAUGGUUUGAACGAAACGUCCCCAUAGUUUUAUGGGUUCAAAGCUUGGUUCCUAGCUGGUUGUACUAUUUUGGAAGGUUCUGGAAACUUUCAGAGGUGGGGUUCUGAGGGAGGAAGUAUGUCAUUGAAGAUGGCAUUCUGUCACUUCCUGUUCUGCUCUCUGCUUCCUGUUUGCUAUGGUGUGGACAUUCCCCUACUGCCAUGAUGAUCCAUCUAAGCAUACAGAGUCAAAAGACUACGAACCAGUAAACCAGAGGCCAGAACUGUCAAGCUGUCAGUUUGGGCACAGAUGAGAAAAGUACCCACCAUGCUCAGUCACACCUGGUCAGGUGCAUCUGCCCUUGAGACAGAGGGAACUCAAAGAUGUUGGUACUUCAUGUAUGCAGGUGCACAUGAGUGUCUUAUUGGAGGUGUAGCCUUGUUAGAGGAAGUGUGUCACUGUAGAGGCGGGGCUUUGAGGACUGUGUGUGUGUGUGUGUGUGUGUGUGUGUGUGUGUGUGUGUGUAUGCUUAAGUCUGGCCAGUGUGAUCCAGUCUUCUGUUUGCCUUCAGAUGAAGAUGUAGAACUCUCAGCUCCUUCUCCUGCACCAUGGCUGCCUGGAUGCUACCAUGUUCCCGCCAUGAUGAUGAUGGACAGAACCUCUGAACCUAAGGCCGGAGACUGAAUCCCAGAACCCAGGUGGCAACUCGCAACUGUAUUCUACAGUUCCCGUUUUGGAGGAGGGCCCAGCUUCCUCUUCUGACCUCCUCAGGAAUCAGGAGCUGAGGAGACCAGAAGACAGCAUUGAGCAGGUGCCUUGGAAGUGAAGUUGCAGACAGUUCUGAGCCACCAUACGAGUACGGGAAACCAAGCCCAGGUCCUCUGUGAAAGCAGGCCGAGUUCUUAACUGCUGUCUCUCAGAUCCUAAGGCCUCAUUCUCAACCAGCAAACGCAAACCGAUGAGAAACACCAAGCCCGGGAGAGACAGACACCACGCCCCGCUGGAGACACCACGCCCUGGGGGAGACAGACACCACGCCCCUCUGGACACACCACGCCCCUCUGGACACACCACGUCCCGCUGGCCCACAAGUUCUUCCCUGUCUGUCUCCUGAGAAUAGGAAUACUCUCUCACGUAACCUCAGUACGAUUACGAAAAUUAGGAAAUUUAUUGUUGGACACUACUAUUAUCCAACUCAGAAUUUAUAUUCAAAUUUCAUCAAUUUACAAAAUAACGCCGUUUAUAACUUCGGCCCCGACGACCCAGGCUCCGAUCCAGGAUGAUGCUGCGCCUUCAGCUGUCAUGCCUCGUUAGAUUCUUUAAUCUGAAGUGGCUCCUUAGCCUUUCUGUCUGAUGCUCCUCAAAAUUAAUUCCAGGUGAUGUGGAAUUAGUGCGCCUGAACACGGGCCUGGUUCCGGGUUCUCCUUGCGUCUGUCGAAGGGCACAGGAUUUUCUCUUACCUGGUUGCUAUUCAUUAUGGUGCGAAUGUGCCCCACCCCUCAGGCUCACAUUCUGAAUGUCACCAGCUGGUGGCACUCUUUUGGGAGGUUGUAGAAGCUGUAGGAGGUGGGGUCUGCGUGAAGGAAAGAGGCCCUUGGGGAUGGGUCCUUGAGGCUUGUGCUGGUUUGAAUGUCUCCCCAUAGGCUUAUGUACCCGAACAGUUGGUAAUGCUAUUUGGGGAGGUUAUGGAACCUUUAGAACGUUCAGCCCUGUUGGAGAACGUAUAUCACGAGGGACAGGCUUUUGAUCCUUCUUCACGGUGGCUUUCGCUCUCUGGUCACUGAGUGUGGUUAAGGGUGUGCACCCUCAGAUUCCUGCUGUCCCCCAUUAUAGUUUAUCCUUAAGGACUCAUAAGCCUAAAUGCAUGGUAGAAAAAGUCCGUAGCAAGACAUUAGAAGAUGACAUCAAAGGAGCUUGCAACCACAUAAGAACAACAAUGCCAACCACCCAGAGCUCCCAGGGACUAAAUGACCGUCCGAAGAGUACACAUGGACUGACCCAGGGCUCCAGCUGCAUGUGUAGCAGAGGAUGGCCUUGCUGGGCACCAGUAUCAGGAGAAGCCCUUGGUCCUGCCAAGGCUAGAGCCACCCAGUGUAGGGGAACGUCAGGGCAGGGAGG